UACGUAGGGUGCAAGCGUUAAUCGGAAUUACUGGGCGUAAAGCGUGCGCAGGCGGCUUUGCAAGACAGAUGUGAAAUCCCCGGGCUUAACCUGGGAACUGCAUUUGUGACUGCAUGGCUGGAGUGCGGCAGAGGGGGAUGGAAUUCCGCGUGUAGCAGUGAAAUGCGUAGAUAUGCGGAGGAACACCGAUGGCGAAGGCAAUCCCCUGGGCCUGCACUGACGCUCACGCACGAAAGCGUGGGGAGCAAACAGG
rnacentral:rRNA from 1 species